UGCCCUCUGAAGCUGGCCACUGGGGCUUUUGCUCAGAGGUGAAGAUUCAGUGGAACCCUAGCAAUGAGAGCAUGGAAGCCAUUCACCCCUAGCACAGAAACCAGACGGCAGAACGUCAUUAGGAAAGCGAGGUGUCUCUGUCUGAUCUGAAGACCGCUGUCUGUCAGCUGCCUCCACGGAGUCCUGUCCUGCCUCUGAACUCCCUUCAGGUGUCAUUUCAUCAGAAGCUGAAACAAGACAAUGAGUUACCACCGCGGCGCCACGGCUUGCUGCACUCAACACUUUGAAGCUUCUCUCUAGGGAUGCCUGGUGGCUCAGGCAGUUAAGCGUCUGACUCAGGUCAUGAUCUUCUGAUGCUGAAAAUGUCGAAGGUAACUUGGGGAUGAAUGAUGGAGAAAUACUCAUCCAAUCGAAUCUUCUGGUUUUGGAGUCCUGGGACAUACUUCUGAAUAUUCACUCCGGCUUGCUUGACCCUCAGCUACCCACAGAGGACAGGUGUAAGACCGGGGAACAGAAAGCAACCCUCACCGUAAACUCUCCCUUGCAAAUAUCACUCCGCAUGCUUUGCGACUCACUAAAAGGGGUCAGUAAUGGUCAGACACCGUGGAAGUAAUAAAUAUUAUUUUAAAAA